rnacentral:lncRNA from 1 species
CUAUAUGCAUGUUGCGUGCGCGUGUGACCGUUUCCUAUGUGUGGUCGAGAGUUGUCUUCUCCAUGUGGAAAUCGACAUGUUCGUCUUCAUUUAUGUGGCCACUGGCUUCCCUCGAAAGAACAAAUGUGUGGCCACUCGCUUUCCUCAAAACAACAAAUGUGUGGCCACUGGCCUUUCAUGCAUAUGCCUUGUUUGGAUACUCUAACCUGCUUAGAGUUAGAGGUUAUAGUUAGUUCAGGUUAGUUCAAGGGUUAGAAUCUAACUUUAACUCUAAAGGUGUUUGAAUGAGAGGGUUAGAUUGAUAAUAA